rnacentral:sRNA from 1 species
UCAACCACCCUGGAGACUGAAGUCCUUUAGCCACAGAACAGGUAUGCAAGUCAGCGAUGUUCCACCAAUGUGAUUCAACCCAGAACUGGAGGGACUAUUGCUACAGGUGAUGAGUGGUUCAGUUUUGGGUGUUUGUAAAGACAAGU